UAGAAACGUAUUACUGCCUUGCCAAAUCCCUUCUGUGGAAUUCAACUACUACAUAUUUUUAGGUUAAAGCAAACUAGAGCGCCUGCACUUCAGCCAAAUCUGACUUUGGUUUCAAAUUACCUCAGAGAAGAAUUUUUAGCUGAUAAUUCACUUUAUAUGGUUUGUUUCACAUGGAGAUAGAGUCACAAUGUAUUUGGUUGAAGACCCUAGUUGGAUUCCAUCCGAAGCAGCGAAAUAUUUCCUGAGAAGAGGAGAAAAAGGAGAGUUUCUUUGAACUUCAGAACUAUCUAUGAGCACCUACCAAGAUGAAGCAUUCUGCGAGAGCCCGAGGCUCUAGUAAUAAAGGAGGCAGCCAGAGGCAUGUUCUCAUGAAGCUGAACAUCGAGUGCUGUCAAAUGCGCUAUAAAGAAGUACAUGAAAAAUAAUGAAAAACAGGAGGAGGAGUUCCCGUUGAGGCUCCGUGGAAAUGACUCUGACUAGUAUCCAC